AGGUUAAAACUCAAAUGAAUUGACGGGGGCCCGCACAAGCGGUGGAGCAUGUGGUUUAAUUCGAUGCAACGCGAAGAACCUUACCUGGUCUUGACAUCCACGGAAGUUUUCAGAGAUGAGAAUGUGCCUUCGGGAACCGUGAGACAGGUGCUGCAUGGCUGUCGUCAGCUCGUGUUGUGAAAUGUUGGGUUAAGUCCCGCAACGAGCGCAACCCUUAUCCUUUGUUGCCAGCGGUCCGGCCGGGAACUCAAAGGAGACUGCCAGUGAUAAACUGGAGGAAGGUGGGGAUGACGUCAAGUCAUCAUGGCCCUUACGACCAGGGCUACACACGUGCUACAAUGGCGCAUACAAAGAGAAGCGACCUCGCGAGAGCAAGCGGACCUCAUAAAGUGCGUCGUAGUCCGGAUUGGAGUCUGCAACUCGACUCCAUGAAGUCGGAAUCGCUAGUAAUCGUGGAUCAGAAUGCCACGGUGAAUACGUUCCCGGGCCUUGUACACACCGCCCGUCACACCAUGGGAGUGGGUUGCAAAAGAAGUAGGUAGCUUAACCUUCGGGAGGGCGCUUACCACUUUGUGAUUCAUGACUGGGGUGAAGUCGUAACAAGGUAACCGUAGGGGAACCUGCGGUUGGAUCACCUCCUU
rnacentral:rRNA from 1 species